AGAGUUUGAUCCUGGCUCAGGAUGAACGCUGGCGGCGUGCCUAACACAUGCAAGUCGAACGGACUUAUAACGAAACCUAGUGAAUUAUAAGUUAGUGGCGGACGGGUGAGUAACGCGUGGAAAACCUGCCGUAUACUGGGGGAUAACACUUAGAAAUAGGUGCUAAUACCGCAUAAGCGCACAGCUUCGCAUGAAGCAGUGUGAAAAACUCCGGUGGUAUACGAUGGUUCCGCGUCUGAUUAGCUAGUUGGUGAGGUAAAAGCCCACCAAGGCGACGAUCAGUAGCCGGCCUGAGAGGGUGAACGGCCACAUUGGGACUGAGACACGGCCCAGACUCCUACGGGAGGCAGCAGUGGGGGAUAUUGCACAAUGGGGGAAACCCUGAUGCAGCGACGCCGCGUGAGUGAAGAAGUAUUUCGGUACGUAAAGCUCUAUCAGCAGGGAAGAAAAAAAGUCCACAGGACUUUGGACGGUACCUGACUAAGAAGCCCCGGCUAACUACGUGCCAGCAGCCGCGGUAAUACGUAGGGGGCAAGCGUUAUCCGGAUUUACUGGGUGUAAAGGGAGCGUAGACGGCUGUGCAAGUCUGAAGUGAAAUGCCGGGGCCCAACCCCGGAACUGCUUUGGAAACUGUACAGCUAGAGUGCAGGAGGGGUGAGCGGAAUUCCUAGUGUAGCGGUGAAAUGCGUAGAUAUUAGGAGGAACACCGGUGGCGAAGGCGGCUCACUGGACUGUAACUGACGUUGAGGCUCGAAAGCGUGGGGAGCAAACAGGAUUAGAUACCCUGGUAGUCCACGCAGUAAACGAUGAAUGCUGGCUGUCCGGGGGGAUUGACCCCUGGGUGGCGAAGCGAAAGCGAUAAGCAUUCCACCUGGGGAGUACGCCGGCAACGGUGAAACUCAAAGGAAUUGACGGGGGCCCACACAAGCGGAGGAACAUGUGGUUUAAUUCGAUGAUACGCGAGGAACCUUACCCGGGCUCAAACGGGGAGUGACUCAGGCAGAGACGCCUGUUUCCCACGGGACACUCCCCGAGGUGCUGCAUGGUUGUCGUCAGCUCGUGCCGUGAGGUGUCGGCUUAAGUGCCAUAACGAGCGCAACCCCCGCGUGCAGUUGCUAACAGAUAACGCUGAGGACUCUGCACGGACUGCCGGCGCAAGCCGCGAGGAAGGCGGGGAUGACGUCAAAUCAGCACGGCCCUUACGUCCGGGGCGACACACGUGUUACAAUGGGUGGUACAGCGGGAAGCCAGGCGGCGACGCCGAGCGGAACCCGAAAUCCACUCUCAGUUCGGAUCGGAGUCUGCGACCCGACUCCGUGAAGCUGGAUUCGCUAGUAAUCGCGCAUCAGCCAUGGCGCGGUGAAUACAAACCCGGGCCUUGCACACUCCGCCCGUCAAG
rnacentral:rRNA from 1 species